UAGGGAAUCUUCCGCAAUGGGCGAAAGCCUGACGGAGCAACGCCGCGUGAGUGAUGAAGGUCUUCGGAUCGUAAAACUCUGUUAUUAGGGAAGAACAAAUGUGUAAGUAACUAUGCACGUCUUGACGGUACCUAAUCAGAAAGCCACGGCUAACUACGUGCCAGCAGCCGCGGUAAUACGUAGGUGGCAAGCGUUAUCCGGAAUUAUUGGGCGUAAAGCGCGCGUAGGCGGUUUUUUAAGUCUGAUGGGAAAGCCCACGGCUCAACCGUGGAGGGUCAUUGGAAACUGGAAAACUUGAGUGCAGAAGAGGAAAGUGGAAUUCCAUGUGUAGCGGUGAAAUGCGCAGAGAUAUGGAGGAACACCAGUGGCGAAGGCGACUUUCUGGUCUGUAACUGACGCUGAUGUGCGAAGGCGUGGGGAUCAAACAGG
rnacentral:rRNA from 1 species